CCUACGGGUGGCAGCAGUGAGGAAUAUUGGUCAAUGGGCGGGAGCCUGAACCAGCCAAGCCGCGUGAGGGAAGAAGGUACAGCGUAUCGUAAACCUCUUUUGUCAGGGAACAAAGGCGGGGACUAGUCCCCGGAUGCGGGUACCUGAAGAAAAAGCAUCGGCUAACUCCGUGCCAGCAGCCGCGGUAAUACGGAGGAUGCGAGCGUUAUCCGGAUUGAUUGGGGUUAAAGGGUGCGCAGGCGGCCUGUUAAGUCAGCGGGAAAAGCCCGGGGCUCAACCCCGGCGAGCCGUUGAAACUGGCGGGCUUGAGUUGGAGAGAAGUACGCGGAAUGCGCGGUGUAGCGGUGAAAUGCUUAGAUAUCGCGCAGAACCCCGAUUGCGAAGGCAGCGUACCGGCUCCACACUGACGCUGAGGCACGAAAGCGUGGGUAGCGAACAGGAUUAGAUACCCUGGUAGUC
rnacentral:rRNA from 1 species